GUUUGCUGGAUUCUAGAUUUCCAGAGGAAUUCACAAAGUCCUGAAUUGCAGAUUUUGGUUGAGUAGGAUUUUGGACCUGAGUUUGAUCACCCCUCAGUAUUUGCUGGUUUUGGAACUAUUCUCACUUGAUUUGGAGAUCAUUAGAUCUUGAGGGGCUUUGUUGCUGGUUUGGAGGUGUUUCCAGCAGUGUUGCUUGUGAUCCAAGACCUUCUUGCUGCCAGGAUUUUGCUCUCGAGGUGGGUGUAUCAUCGGUUUCGCUCCUAAGUGCAUGUUUAGUCGACGUGUAUAGUUCGAUUUUUGU